rnacentral:rRNA from 1 species
GCAUAACGCGAAGAACCUUACCUGGUCUUGACAUGUCUGGAAUCCCGAAGAGAUUUGGGAGUGCCGCAAGGAACCAGAACACAGGUGCUGCAUGGCUGUCGUCAGCUCGUGUCGUAAGAUGUUGGGUUAAGUCCCGCAACGAGCGCAACCCUUGUCCUUAGUUGCCAUCAUUUAGUUGGGAACUCUAAGGAGACCGCCGGUGACAAACCGGAGGAAGGUGGGGAUGACGUCAAGUCAUCAUGGCCUUUAUGACCAGGGCUACACACGUGCUACAAUGGCAGGUACAGAGGGAAGCCAACCAGCAAUGGGGAGCCAAUCCCAGAAAGCCUGUCUUAGUCCGGAUUGGAGUCUGCAACUCGACUUCAUGAAGCUGGAAUCGCUAGUAAUCGCAGAUCAGCAUUGCUGCGGUGAAUACGUUCCCGGGUCUUGUACACACCG